rnacentral:rRNA from 1 species
UACGUAGGGCGCAAGCGUUGUCCGGAAUUAUUGGGCGUAAAGAGCUCGUAGGCGGCCUGUUACGUCUGCUGUGAAAUCCCGGGGCUUAACCCCGGGCGUGCAGUGGAUACGGGCAGGCUGGAGGCAGGCAGGGGAGAACGGAAUUCCCGGUGUAGCGGUGAAAUGCGCAGAUAUCGGGAAGAACACCCGUGGCGAAGGCGGCUCUCUGGGACGGUACUGACGCUGAGGAGCGAAAGCGUGGGGAGCGAACAGG